rnacentral:rRNA from 1 species
CCCUUAGAUGUUCUGGGCUGCACGCGCGCUACACUGUCGGAUUCAGCGAGUCAUAUCCUUAACCGAAAGGUUUGGGUAAUCUUUUGAAAGUCCGACGUGAUGGGGAUUGAUCAUUGCAAUUAUUGAUCAUGAACGAGGAAUUCCUAGUAAGCGCGAGUCAUCAGCUCGCGUUGAUUACGUCCCUGCCCUUUGUACACACCGCCCGUCGCUACUACCGAUUGAAUGGUUUAGUGGGAUCUUCGGAUUGGCGCCUACGCGGCUUCUCUGAGGCCACGCUGGAUGCCGAAAAGUUGCUCAAACUGUAUCAUUUAGAGGAAGUAAAAGUCGUAACA